rnacentral:rRNA from 1 species
UACGGAGGGUGCAAGCGUUAUCCGGAUUCACUGGGUUUAAAGGGUGCGUAGGUGGGUUGGUAAGUCAGUGGUGAAAUCUCCAGGCUUAACUUGGAAACUGCCAUUGAUACUAUCAGUCUUGAAUACCGUGGAGGUCAGCGGAAUAUGUCAUGUAGCGGUGAAAUGCUUAGAUAUGACAUAGAACACCAAUUGCGAAGGCAGCUGGCUACACGAAUAUUGACACUGAUGCACGAAAGCGUGGGGAUCAAACAGG